AGAAAGGGUACACCACUAUACAAGUUAUGUGCGUGAGUGUCUUUGCUGUCUUUUAUCAACCAUUUGAUCUAGGGAUCUAGUCAAUGGGGAGCCCAAAUCUUGCACUUGCCUACUUGCUAUCAAGGACACUAGUUGGUUCACAUGUAUCAUGUGUGUCGACAAGAUAUUCCACUCUUCAAUGGCAGCUCCUUUGGGCAGCUGAUGGGGUUGUACAUUAGGGGUAGGCCUACGGACCUGCUUCCCUAGGCCCACCUAGGACCCCUUACGGACAUCACUGCCUUUCAAGCCACCGAUGUAGUCUCGACCUCACUCGGUACAACAUACCAUCACACGGCAGAUCUCGAGUCACUCGGAUCGCCUUGUGUCAGUCGGAUGCAUCCUGGCACUCAGACCACAGCAAGGCAACGACACCGAAGAGGCUGCAACGACUAAGGACUUAAUCCAUCACAUAAAGUGUACUGAAGACUCACGUUACCAGUAUAGCCAAAGGCGGAGGACGAAAAAAAAUUAAGGUGUGGCGAAGUCUUAAGGAAAUAAUUCUUUUAAUGC
rnacentral:lncRNA from 1 species